ACGGGAGGCAGCAGUGGGGAAUAUUGCACAAUGGGGGAAACCCUGAUGCAGCGACGCCGCGUGAGUGAAGAAGUAUUUCGGUAUGUAAAGCUCUAUCAGCAGGAAAGAAAAUGACGGUACCUGACUAAGAAGCCCCGGCUAACUACGUGCCAGCAGCCGCGGUAAUACGUAGGGGGCAAGCGUUAUCCGGAUUUACUGGGUGUAAAGGGAGCGUAGACGGUAAGGCAAGUCUGAAGUGAAAUGCCAGGGCUCAACCCUGGAACUGCUUUGGAAACUGUCCUACUAGAGUGCGGGAGAGGUAAGUGGAAUUCCUAGUGUAGCGGUGAAAUGCGUAGAUAUUAGGAGGAACACCAGUGGCGAAGGCGGCUUACUGGACUGUAACUGACGUUGAGGCUCGAAAGCGUGGGGAGCAAACAGGAUUAGAUACCCUGGUA
rnacentral:rRNA from 2 species